UACGGAGGAUGCGAGCGUUAUCCGGAUUUAUUGGGUUUAAAGGGUGCGCAGGCGGCACGGCAAGCCGGCGGUCAAAUCGCGGGGCUCAACCCCGCCCAGCCGUCGGAACUGCCGGGCUAGAGUGGGCGAGAAGUGCGCGGAAUGCGUGGUGUAGCGGUGAAAUGCAUAGAUAUCACGCAGAACUCCGAUUGCGAAGGCGGCGCACCGGCGCCCUACUGACGCUCAGGCACGAAAGCGUGGGUAUCGAACAGG
rnacentral:rRNA from 1 species